GACGAACGCUGGCGGCGUGCCUAAUACAUGCAAGUCGAACGCAGUGGGGACGGGUGAGUAACACGUGGGUAACCUCCCAUCAGAGGGGAUAACACUUGGAAACAGGUGCUAAACCGAUACUGAUGGAUGGACCCGCGGUGCAUUGGCUAGUUGGAGAGGUAACGGCCCACCAAGGCCACGAUGCAUAGCCGGCCUGAGGGGGUGAUCGGCCACACUGGGAAGUGGUCAAGGCCCAGAACCCUACGGGAGGGAGCAGGAGGGAAUCUUCGGCAAUGGACGGAAGUCUGACCGCGCACCGCCGCGUGAGUGAAGAAGGUUUUCGGAGCGUAAAGCUCUGUUGUUAGAGAAGCGGUAACUAACCAGAAAGGGACGGCUAACUACGUGCCAGCAGCCGCGGUAAUAC
rnacentral:rRNA from 1 species